GAGUUUGAUCCUGGCUCAGGAUGAACGCUGGCGGCGUGCUUAACACAUGCAAGUCGAACGAUCCAGCACUCAACUACCAACUACAUUUUCAAGAAGAAACGAAAGUGUGGUUAGUAGUUGAGUGCUGGAGAGUGGCGGACGGGUGCGUAACGUGUGGGUAAUCUGCCUUUGUCAUGGGAAUAACUGCUUGAAAGAGCAGCUAAUACCGAAUAACAUAUGCAAUAGGCAUCUAUUGGAUAUCAAAGAGAAAUCGGACAAAGAUGAGCCCGCAUCUGAUUAGCUAGUUGGUAGGGUAACAGCCUACCAAGGCAACGAUCAGUAGCCGACCUGAGAGGGUGAACGGCCACAUUGGAACUGAGACACGGUCCAAACUCCUACGGGAGGCAGCAGUGGGGAAUAUUGCACAAUGGGGGGAACCCUGAUGCAGCAACGCCGCGUGAGUGAAGAAGGCUUUCGAGUCGUAAAACUCUGUUGUAAGGGAAGAUAAUGACAGUACCU
rnacentral:rRNA from 1 species